rnacentral:rRNA from 1 species
AGUAAAGUGGCGCACGGGUGAGUAACGCGUGGGUAAUCUACCUCCGAAUUGGGGAUAACGUUGCGAAAGCGACGCUAAUACCGGAUAAUAUCGAGAGGACUUUGGUUUUCUUGAUCAAAGGUGGCCUCUUCAUGAAAGCUACUGUUUGGAGAUGAGCCCGCGUCCCAUUAGCUUGUUGGUGGGGUAAAGGCCCACCAAGGCCGCGAUGGGUAGCUGGUCUGAGAGGAUGAUCAGCCACACUGGAACUGACACACGGUCCAGACUCCUACGGGAGGCAGCAGUGAGGAAUUUUGCGCAAUGGGGGAAACCCUGACGCAGCAACGCCGCGUGAGUGAUGAAGGCUUUCGGGUCGUAAAGCUCUGUCAAGUGGGAAGAACCACUUUGAGGAUAAUACCCUCGAGGUCUGACGGUACCACUGAAGGAAGCACCGGCUAACUCCGUGCCAGCAGCCGCGGUAAUACGGGGGGUGCAAGCGUUAUUCGGAUUUACUGGGCGUAAAG